UGAGUACUCCCUUCGUUCAGAAUUACUUGUCCAAGAAAUGAAUGUAUCUAGGUGUAUUUUAGUUGUAGAUACAUCCAUUUUUGUGACAAGUAAUUCCGAAUGGAGGGAGUAACAU
rnacentral:pre_miRNA from 1 species